rnacentral:rRNA from 1 species
AGAGUUUGAUCCUGGCUCAGGAUGAACGCUGGCGGCGUGCCUAAUACAUGCAAGUCGAACGAGGCAGCAAUGCUUAGUGGCGACCGGGUGAGGAACACGUAGCUAACCUACCCCUCUGCGGGGAAUAACAAGCCGAAAGGCGUGCUAAUACCGCAUACCGUCACCUUGUUUAGCAAGAGGUGACGAAACUUACGGGGCGG